rnacentral:rRNA from 1 species
UAGGGAAUCUUCGGCAAUGGGGGGAACCCUGACCGAGCAACGCCGCGUGAGUGAAGAAGGUUUUCGGAUCGUAAAGCUCUGUUGUUAAGGAAGAACGAGUGUGAGAAUGGAAAGUUCAUGCUGUGACGGUACUUAACCAGAAAGGGACGGCUAACUACGUGCCAGCAGCCGCGGUAAUACGUAGGUCCCGAGCGCUGUCCGGACUUAUUGGGCGUAAAGCGAGCGCAGGCGGUUAGGAAAGUCUGAAGUGAAGGGCAGUGGCGCAACCGUUGUAGGCUUUAGAAACUGUUUAACUUGAGUGCAGAAGGGGAGAGUGGAAUUCCGUGUGUGGCGGUGAAAUGCGUAGAUAUAUGGAGGAACACCGGUGGCGAAGGCAGCGCUCUGGUCUGUAACUGACGCUGAGGCUCGAAAGCGUGGGGAGCGAACAGG